CAUAUUUUCAAGGUGGAAAAUGGCUCUGUAAAUUAUUUGGAAGACCCAGGAGACAAGCUACAACUGGGGAUAUUACUUGAGCACUUGUCAAGUGCUGGGCAAAUAAAACAGGCAAGACUGAUCGGAUACCUCCUGUACCCACCCUGCAAUCUAGGUGUGUGUUUUGACUGGGAAUGGAACCCACAACCCUUCACUGCACAGGAUGAUGCUUCAACCAAUUGAGCUACCGGGCCAGGGCCAGCUCCUAGUCUUUGUAAGGCCUGGCUAUUUAGUGUUUUCUUGAUUCUGGCAGAAUUUUCAUAUGCUUCCAAUAAACUUCAUUUUUUUCUCCUUAA